GAUGAAAUACCGGUUUCCGCACGAUCUCCGAAGUCAAGCAACGUCGUGCCUGAUCAGUAACUAGAUGGGUGACCGCUUGGGAAUACCAGGUGCUGUUA